UUAGCUCUUCAUAGUUUUAUAAAGCAUAAAGAGUUUUUUUCCAUAACUGUAUUAGUUCAUUUUCACACUGCUCUGAGGAAUAUCUGAGACUGGGUAAUUUAUAAAGGAAAAGGUUUAUUUGACUCUCAGUUUCACAUGCCUGGAGAAGCCUCAGGAAACUUAUAAU